UUCUUGAAUCGGGGCUGCCGUGUUUUUCCCACUGUCACUACCACAUUCGGCGGUGUCACGCUCAAGCAUUGUCUCUAGGGCCGUCCCGCCUCUUUUGUACCUGUUGCUGGCCUAUUCAAGGUAGCCGCGAAGAUACACCGGCUGCUCGCAUCCGGCUCUCGCGGAUCGGCCCCCUUCCCCACUCAUCCCUCUCUCAUCUCCGGACCGAUUUGCGGUUUCUCUUUCUUCUCCGUCCUGGUAAGAGCGCUGCCACAUAAUCCCCGCCCCAUUCGUGUUUUUUCUUCUGUUUUCGGUUUGCGCUCUUCUGCGAGCGUGUAUUCGCUGAUUUCCACUGCGGCGCCGUUCCGCGACGAGGAGGACAGCGGGUCUGCAUGCCUGCGGCCCACAUCCACACACACGCGCGCGCGCAGGAACGCAGAGAAGCAUACGACGUCUUCGAGGAGAGGGCCGACAGCGAACAGCAUCGCUGCGCAGGUGCUCCCCUCCCCUUCCCCUUCCCCUUCACUCACGCUUCUCCUCGCGGUGAUCGUGUUACUUCUCCGCAUUUCUCUUUAUAUACACGCAUAUGUAUACCUAUAUACCUAACCUUUUUUCGCACCCCUCUUACCGUCUUGUGCGUGCGUGUGUGUGAGUGUUUGUGUUCGUUUUUGCUUGUCUACCUCCCUGCAACCUCGACGGUAACGUGUCUGCAUGUGUACACGUUUUCCUGCCUCCUGUCCCCUCCAUCCGCUCUCGCUGUGCUGGCCGCUCCUGCACGUGGGCUCUCCUUUGCGGAAGCACGCACACCCACCCAGCCACCCAGCCACCCAUCCACACCUUCUCUCUUCCUCCUUCCUUUCCUCCUUUUCUUUCUGGGCUAGCUCGCUUCUGCAGUGCAGUAGACUCCGUGUCUGGCACCUCUAUAUAUAUGUGCAUGUAUACAUCUAUAGAUGGUCCUGUCGCGUGUCUUUCUCUCCGUUUUUCCUUUCCUCUGCCCAUUCCGACCUGCGUCUGUCUGUGUCGGCUCGUGUAGCUUCGACUCUCCGCGUUUUUUUUGUUCGUUUUUCGUUCGCCGUGACCACACGCAUUGAGCGAGCGAGGGCGCGGUAACUCGCCCGAGUGGCUGGCUCCCUGUUGUACCUGUCCUGUAUAUGUCGCUGCUCGAUGUGUAAGCCAGCCCCCUUCUCCUCCCCCUUCCCCUUUUCCCCUCCCAGUGAUGCGGGUUCGCUUUUCGUCUCCCCAUUCGUCGAUCGUUGUACUCUGAAGAGACUUCGCUGUUGUGAUUCGCCUCUGCUUUUCUUUUUUGUCGUUUUUUUUUUCGCAUAGAAGCGGAAGUGCGAGCGAGAGCGGAAGACGGUGUCUUGUGCGCUUGGCCUCCCAUUGCAGAGCCUUGGCUGCACCCGCGCAUGGCGGAGAACCACAGCACCGAGAGCGAGGGGAAAUGAACUGCCGCUACGUGUAUGAUGAAUCAGCCAGCCUACCGUCGCCUCUGACCACAGCGGUCGGCUCCGUCGGCGGCAACCCGUCGGCAUCGCGCAGCGGUAAUCCAACCAGCAGCAUGGAUGACUUCCAGAUGCCGACUGCCCAUGGCAGCUUCCUGUCGCACAGCGAGUAUGGCAUCCCUCUCAUUCAUGAUAUCGAUGGGCCACCGAGAAACACGCAGGCGCACCCGUACCCUUCGUCACCGCUCGCCUCGCCACAAGUCCCUGCCGACAGAACCAAACCACACACACGUCUGGGGCCGAAUCGGCAGAGGUACCCGGGCAGCUUGCGAGGUGGAAGCAUCGAUUCGGAGAAGCUGGACUGCGUAGCGGGUUCCACGAAUAAGAUGAACGGCUCCCCAGUGAGAGCGUUGGUCCCGAAUGUAUGUGGUGACCUCUUUGACUCACAAAACUCCCUCACGAACAUGUAUGACGACUACACAAGCAGCAGCAGCAGCAGCAGCAGUAGCAGCGCGAGCGGCAGCGGCAGGCUUCCUGACCUCUCUGUGGCUAGCCCCUCCGGAGAGGGCGGAGGACUGGGCAAGAGCCACAUCGACACGGCAGUCUGUGGGGUUUUCAUGAACUCGGUUCGGCGACUUCCGGGAUUCGGCGCUAUUCAGGACUCGGUGGACGCAACUAAACGAGCGUCUUUGCCAAAGGCGACCGACUCGCUCCUGCCCAUCGUUGGCACGACUCCAGCCGCAAAAAAUCGAAGCGACCGACGCAGGUUGCAGGACAGCAGCAACCGUACUGUGAGCAACACUGAGCCGACAGCUGGAUUGCAGAAAUUAUCCACAAGCGCCACCUGCACCGCUCAGUUAGCCUCGGGUGCUGUGGCAACUGGACGCAUUAAAGUACCAUCCUCGGCAGUGACGUUGUCGCCGCCCUCUGCUGAGUUCACGAUUUUCUUCGACAGCCCGCUGAUCAAGGACAGAGGCGGUGCAGCGAGAUCGCCAGGACGCCAAAACCAACUAUCAUCGCAGGCACUCGCCUCACCGAGCUCGUUCAACCCUCCCCGCGGUGCUGAGGGCAAGGCUGAGAAGGCAGGUGGCUGGACAACGACUAACUUGGGGGUAGAGGACGGCCCAGACAGGUCGGGCUCUCACCGCAGCACGUUUGGCGGUGUGUGGAGCAGCGGGGAGCGCAGCGAUAUGUCACCUUCCCCACACCGGCAGUCAAGCACCAGAAGCCUUCACAUGCGCUCUGCAAGCAGCAACUUGAAUUGCAGCGGCAGCGGUACAAGUGGGCUGUCACGUAUACCGCAGCGACGCGCUGCCUCUGAGCCGUCUCCUAUGGUGUUCCAUGAAGGGCACCAUCUUUCCCUCCGUCGCACAGUGCAGCCUUCCAUGCAGCCGGUGUCUCAAGUGCACACCUCUUCUGGCGUGCACGAAGCGGGCAGCACAGAUGGUAGUGUAUACAACAACAGAGGCAAGGAAGAGGUGGAUGGCUCGCCACUUGCUCGCCAGCCUGUGUACGACCUCAGCUGUGUGACAGGCUCCCUAGAAGACGCCGCAGAGGUGGUGCUCGAUUCGCCUCACUUUGAUACGGACGACCUCGGCGGCGGCGGCGAUGGCUACGGUGACCUUGUGAGCCGACAUGGCGAGUCGGGGGAGCGGGUGCUGCUAAAUUUGGUGGAGCCUCCGUCCCCUGCACUGUCGUCGCGGCGAACGAAAAAGCAACCUCCGAAGAAUUCGGCAGCUCUACCGAAGGCGACGCCACCUGCCCUCACUCUGCUGCAUGCGCCACCCAUGCUGAGCAAGAGGCUCCUCACGUUGAGGCAAGUCCGCACGAACACUUCAGCGAUGAUGGAAAGCGGACAUCUAAAGUUAAGUCUCGACGGUGGCGCUGGUGCGAAGCGGUCUAACGAGGAGGCGGCGAGCGAGUCAUCCGCGUCCGGUAGCACGACGCCGUCGUAUCUGGCCGAUCUCAAUACCCCUUUCUCGCCAACCCGCCCUCUAACAACGCGAGCACCGCGUUCACCGCUGCAGAAUGCUCGCAAUGAAAAAGCUCUCGGCGCCGUCGUCCCUGGAGAAACUCCGCGCCUCUCCACGUCACGGGUGCUCUCUCCCUCGCCAACCUUGAGAAUGAGCAAUUCUGUGCAGCCGAUGUACGCGGCCGUGCUCAGUGGCGAACCCCAAAAGCCGCGGAGGCGGCCUCACAGCAGAGUCCGCAUCUGCACGGGUACACAGGAGAUCGAUGACAAUCCCGUGACCUCGAAGGCGCCGUGGCCGCUUCCGAAGCCACCGUCGAGCAUCGUUGUCAAACGUCGUCUCUUUGAUCCGAAGCGCCCGCGUCUACGUGGCCCCCGCACACGUGAACUGCCGGACGGAAAGCGGCAAGCUAACUGGACGGCUCCUGAGACGCACUACACGACCACGCUGGCGGACUUGGCAGCGUACGACGAGGACGAAGAUGACAUGCCGCAGUGGCACCUUACGGAUGCCUUGUGGAGCGACGAAGUCAUCCGCACGGAUGUGGCGGUUUCUCGGCAGUCAGAGGUGCGAGACAGCCGCCCAUCGUCGAGCUUGACACCGGCUGUGGAAAGUGGCGUAGUUGGAGCCAUGGUGCUAAAUCAAUCCCCGGCAUCGACGCCGACGGUGCCACACAUGUCGUCGUUGCAGUCAGCGACAUUCUCUACUUCACCCGAGGCACCAGCCGUCGCGGCGGCAAAUAUGACCAUACCAGGUGGUUUGCAACUCGCGCGCUUGGCGUCGCUGACCGCUGCGGCAUCAAGAGAUGCUCACGCAAGUGCCGUACAGGACUUGCAGAGCACCUCUCUGAAAAUUGGUCGCCGGGCCGGCGGCAUUGUUGUGGAUGAGGUGGAUAAGGUGCUCCGCCUUCGCGGGGAGUCGGAGCUCGCACAGGUUCCCGGCGAGCUGCAAAGUGAGCCGUCCUCGCGGCCCUUUCACGGCAGCGGAGCACCUACGCCCACAAGCAGCGCCACGUCGCCGCGGCUAGGCACAUCGACGCAUCGCAGACAUGCCAAGUCCGAAAAUGUGGGGUGGCGAAGGCGUCAAUGAAGGUGAAAACGUGCGCGGCAGCAACGUCCGCUCAAUUACGACGCGUGGGCGGUAGCACGGCUGUGGCUACUGGAACCUGGUAGAUGGCAAGCAACUCAACUCGUACUUCAUGACAGGCAUCGAGCCAUCUGUCACGGACUCCUACGGUCUACCAACAUGCCCGCGAAGCCCGAUGCUGCCAUCCUUUGCCCCCAUCACGGGGCGCCGUUUCAUUGGUGGUGCGGCUGUCAUGGCGAGCGGCAAGGUCGGAAGCUCGAAAGGGUUUCGGAGCAUUGGUAUAUCCACCCCAUUUGAGGGCCGCAGGUCACCUAAUACGCUUGCGAGGCCAGAACCGAGUCAUGCGCGCCGCGGCGCGGCACAUCGGCAACCGACCCUUCGCCUGUGCAGCACACGCUUCCAGCGUUUUGUCCCUAUUCCUUCCUGCGCGCCUUCAUCCCCUUUGGCUGGCAACCGUGAGGCUGCAGCUCUGUGGCUGUGGCCGUCCCUUUUUGUUUUGUUUUCUUCUGCUUUCCGCUGUGCGGCGUGCUCCCUCCCUUCCUCAAGCAUCCUCUCCGCCAUUUAUCUGCAUCACAGGCACCUUCGAGCGUCAGCGCACGGAAGACCAGCAGCACUUUCUGGCUGCCCACGGCUCAGUCACCUCUCACACUGGAAUGGCGCAUUUGAAGGACACUCUUCCGACCGUCGUGGUGCUGCUGCGUUCCACGCCGUGCUGUGUCUCUUUUCUGUGAAUCGGUUGCGCCUUUCGCCCCACCCACCCACCCACCUCCGCCUCUCUUCUCGUCGCUGCGCAUUGAUAUUUUUUUCAUUGCCUCAUCAUGGGUGGUGUGUCUCUUUUAUUUGUUCCCGCGUCAUGCACGGCUCGCUCGAUUGAGCGUUCGCGUGGUAUCCUUCGCUUUCUGUUCUGCGUUCUUCAUUGUGGCUGUGGUGGCUCCCGUGACUUCCGUAUCCCCUCGCUGGCGUCGCCUCGUGCGAGGCCCGCUCUCCGAUGCAGUGCAUUACGCUCUUUGCCUCCUCCGUCAUGUACUCCCAACCCCCUCUUCUCUUUUUUGUUGCUUGCUUGGAUGCAUACUCAGUCAUCUCCGUUGGCCUCCAUACACCUGGAUGCGUGCUAGUAGCAGGAAGUGCUUCAAAGUCUGCGCGUGGGUGCUUGCGCCAGUGCCCCCUCCUCCUUGACGACCACCUCGAUGACUUCAGAGCUCUCUCCCCCCACCAUCACCACCUUCUGGUGAGGGAGAGGAGUGGUUUCACGUGGACGGGAAGCGCGACGGACUAGUGCGGGGUGUUGGCCGAUGACGUCACCAUGCUCUCUUUCAUCGCGUAUGCAUUUUUCUUUUCCGUCGUCCCCUCCCUCCGCCCUCUUUCGUUUCCCUUUUCCUCUCGCCGAGUGUAACCGCUUUUCGUGUGUGACGGUGGGGGCAUGCCUGGGUUCUCGCGCGCUCCUGCGCUGAUUUUGGUGCACCCAG
rnacentral:misc_RNA from 1 species